rnacentral:tRNA from 1 species
CAAGAUGUAGCUUAACUAAAGCAUCUAGUUUACACCUAGAAGAUUUCAUAUAUUAUGAAUAUCUUGA